rnacentral:rRNA from 1 species
UAACGGCGAGUGAAGCGGCAAAAGCUCAAAUUUGAAACCCUCGGGAUUGUAAUUUGAAGAUUUGGCAUUGGAGAAAGCUAACCCAAGUUGCUUGGAAUAGUACGUCAUAGAGGGUGACAACCCCGUCUGGCUAACCGUUCUCCAUGUAUUGCCUUAUCAAAGAGUCGAGUUGUUUGGGAAUGCAGCUCAAAGUGGGUGGUAAACUCCAUCUAAAGCUAAAUACUGGUGAGAGACCGAUAGCGAACAAGUACUGUGAAGGAAAGGUGAAAAGAACUUUGAAAAGAGAGUGAAAUAGUAUGUGAAAUUGUUGAUAGGGAAGGAAAUGAGUGGAGAGUGGCCGAGGUUUCAGCCGCCCCUCGUGGGCGGUGUACUGCCGACGCCGAGUCAUCGAUAGCGAGACGAGGGUUACAAAUGGGAGCGCCUUCGGGCGUUCUCCCCUAACCCUCCACACUGGCACCGACGACAUAAUCCACCCAUUUCACCCGUCUUGAA